rnacentral:rRNA from 1 species
GACGAACGCUGGCGGCGUGCUUAACACAUGCAAGUCGAACGCUGAAGCUUGGUGCUUGCACUGGGUGGAUGAGUGGCGAACGGGUGAGUAAUACGUGAGUAACCUGCCCUUGACUCUGGGAUAAGCCUGGGAAACUGGGUCUAAUACUGGAUACGACAUGUCACCGCAUGGUGGUGUGUGGAAAGGGUUUUACUGGUUUUGGAUGGGCUCACGGCCUAUCAGCUUGUUGGUGGGGUAAUGGCUCACCAAGGCGACGACGGGUAGCCGGCCUGAGAGGGUGACCGGCCACACUGGGACUGAGACACGGCCCAGACUCCUACGGGAGGCAGCAGUGGGGAUUAUUGCACAAUGGGCGAAAGCCUGAUGCAGCGACGCCGCGUGAGGGAUGACGGCCUUCGGGUUGUAAACCUCUUUCAGCACGGAAGAAGCGAAAGUGACGGUACGUGCAGAAGAAGCGCCGGCUAACUACGUG